UUUACUCUGUGAAAACUUUCUGUCGGCUUUGGAGAGCACAGAUACAUAUGCGGGGCUCGAGCUCACGGAGACUUGUUUAACAUGGCUGCUACUGCUUCAGGCUGCACAGCUUGUGAGGGCUGCUUUCACUGCACGGCCACCACCCCGUUCCUCGCCGGCUCUCUCUUCCUCACAGCAGCACAGGCUGGAUUGCACAAAAAAAACUCUUCUCCUCUCUCCGCGCACUCCUCUUUGCUAGACGGGUUUUUAGCAGAAACACAUACGGCCAAAGACAAUUAGAGAGAGAGGGGGAAAAAAAAUGCCAGUAUUAUUUAAACUAACAGAGUGCAGGAAAAGGCCGCUUUGCACUGCAAGGACCUUUGAGGGCACUCCCCAUCGAGGAGGGAACAAAGGCCAUGACCCCUGGGUCAAAAGCGUUACAUGGGAGGCCAAGCGAGCUCAUUGAAUGUUCCACUGUUGUUUGCUUUAAGAAGGAUUCUGAAAGAAGGAGAGGAGGAAGAGAGACACAGAGAGAAAAGAGCAAGGGAGAGCUUCUCCUGGGAACAAGCUGGAAAUUAUGGACCUAUUCGAUAUCAGACCUCAGAGUGGACAACCUAUCCUAAGAGGGACGCGCCCUAACUGUAACUAACAACUACUUCUGGCAGCCCUUCAACAACCAGACAUAUUGUCCUGGAUCAGGGCCGUUUUCGAAAAGGCAGCAAUGAGCAAGGGCAGCCUAGGCAAGAAAUCAACAUCGACCUUCAGCCUCAUUAAUAUCAAUUAAUACUUUUUUCCUCUAAUAAAAAUACAGAAUUUUAAACUAUGAUCCCAAUGAGGCGUUAAUUAUCAAAUGUAGCAUGUUAAGGUGAUACAUGCUCUAAAAAAGAAGGAUUUCCACACUAAAGUGGGGCAGCAUUAAGAGGUCAGCACAGCGCUUUAAAAAAAAAAAAUUAAAAUGUAUAAUGCGUGAGUUAAUUAUUUCACCUACUAUUUUAGUACUGAUAUAUUAAAAGCUCAAAAUCCAACACUAAUGCAAUGUUGCAUUACUUCGUACUGUGUAGGUCUGAAGAUCUGCAUUUAAAGUGUGAAAGUAACAAAACUGCCUUAUGGUGGAAACGAGCACAAGCAGGGUUUGAAUGAAUGUAACAAUGUAAAUAUACUAAAUUAAAAAUAUUUUUGACUGACUAUAAUACCUGUGUCAUUUGUGUCAUUAUAGCAGAGAUCACAAUGUAAGAACCAAUCAUUUUUAGACAUGCACCAAAUGGGUGUUAUCUAGUUAAACAGCAAUGUAAAAAUACUGAUCUGUAGCACUAAAUAAUGUACUGAGACAAAUUUCAAUAAUCAGUGACACAUAAAGUAAAUUCUCCUUUUCUGUCCACUUAACUAUCAGAUCUCUGCAUACUUCUACUCGUCCUUCCAGUUUUCUCAUGCAGGUUGUUAAUUCCUACUUAAAAAAAAAAACAAAAAAACCUUGGCCAUUUUGUUUUGUUCUCCCUAAUCACUACGCCAGGAGUGCACAGCCCUGGCAUUUCAGGGGCCACGUCACAACGGCUGUUUCUGUGCCGCAGGGCUGCAAGGAGUCCAACACAGCAGAGCCAUACGCACUCAGCGGUUCGCUGCCUCAACAAACACUUUGUGCACACUGUUUUGUUGUCUUACACAAUCUGUCUAGCAUCCUUGCUCCACUGAGAACAGCAAAACAUGUAACUAAUAACAUUUAACAAUAUGUGUGCUUUUUUUUUUUCCUGGUGCCUUUUCCAACACGACAUCACACACCUUUCAGCUCCCGAAUCACUUUGCAGCACUUCCCUUCUCAUGAUUGCUACAGUGAAGCAAGCUUAGUGACAAAACAGAGUUACUCGAGCACAAAAAGUAAAUAUUUGAAAUAUUCUAGAUAUUUACCACUUUGAUAUCUGUUGUUUGGCAACCUUGAAAAAAGGGAAACAGCGCUGAUAUUGAUGUCAUGGAUUAAAAAAAGAAGGACAAAAAAAAAAAAUCACUGAUUAGGGAAAUCACACUUGGGUUACUGAUGAGUAAAACUGCAUUAGGAGAAUGGCGUUUAUCUAUGUGGGAGAAAAGCAGUGAUUUAUAGGACAGUUGCAUAAACAGAUGUUAUACUCUGUGGGCUAUUUAUGCAAAUUCAGUGGCUCUUCUGAUUCAUGCAAAAUAUUAUUAAUAUUUAUUUUUUACAUAGAGCAAAGUAAAAUGUGUUUGAGACAUAAAUCACUGUUCAGGGAAAGCAGACCACAUGCUAGCAAUAAAACUUACUACUGUGAAAAGCCAUUCAAGUCUGCUCAUUUGAUUGCAUCUACACGUGUGCAAAAAGUUUGUCUUCAUAAACUUCCCUUAAAUUUUUGUUUUUGUAAUCCUGUGUGUUGACAUCUAGUCGGUUUAUUAGUUUCAUGCAGAGGCUUGUAUCAAAAGCACAGAGAGCAUUUAAAGUAUACACUACAUUUAUUUUGUCUAUUUUGACUACAAGUGUCACGCAUUGUGUGUUUUUUCAACUUCAUGUCAAGCGUGUGAUAAAAACAAUGUUUAUUUUUAUUACUCUCGUUAUCAUCAUUAUAAUCAUUAUGCCUCAUUAUAUAAUACUUUUGUGGGAACAAGCAACCCUGUUCCUCGUGAUUAUGACCGCAGACACUUAGAAGGGUAAACACUUGUGCAAAAUUAUUUCAAUGCUAGUCUGUGAUUCAGGGACCCUCUGUGUAAACUCUAUGCUCUCUUUAUGGUAAACUGUGCUGACACUGAUGGGGUGUAACAUGUUCUGGUCCACCCAUCAGCAUAAUCAUCAUCAAGCUAAAGGUGUCGACAGCACGUAUUCGAUGGUGUGACAGCCUCUGACCUCUCACACCAACUUAGUAAGGCAGAGGGUCAUGUGGAGGACAUGGCUAUGGAGGGAGAAGUCAAUCUUAUCCUUCCGUUCCGCCACAGGCCUGUGUGCAGCGACAGCAAGAUGAGCUAGAGGGCUUUCCAAAAUCCACACACGUUUGGCCGGGAGUAAGGCAUCGGGGCCGUGUGUGUUUCAAAGGAAACGCUGAGGAAAGCGCUUUUUUUGUGGCAGCACUCGUGCACUUGACAGUGUGUAUUUGCCUGCCUCUAUGUCUUUGCUCCAUCCCCACCCUGACUCAAUAUCCCUCAGCACCAAUAUGUGUCAUCUUUAGUAGCCAAAAUGGCGUACAGCCCACUUGUCUCCCAAAGGUAGAGGACCCUACCUUGUAUCUCUUGAUAUGGAUCUCACGUGUGCAGACAAUUUUUUGCCAUUAUCUCUACACAUUACAAAUACCUCGGGCUCUGCUGAGCAGCGUGGGACUGAGAGGUUAAAAGGCAGGAGGCACGGAGAUGAGAGGCACUGAAAAGCCUCAGCUCUCGGACUGUUGUCAAUUGAGCCUGUGCUUCUCUAAUGGGGGGGGGGGGUUGAUAACCUGGCACACAACCAACCACUAAUGCCACUUAAAUGUCAGAGACUGCAGAAAGAAAGGGAGACAGCAAAACUGGGAGCACAUUCAUAUUUCAGCAUGGCAGAUGCUAUAAUACGUUCAUGCCUCACAAUGAGGACAAACAAAGACCCCAGAAGUUUGAAAAAAAAAAGAGAAGGCAGGCAUGAUAAAAGGGAAAUGAAAAAGAGGAAAAGGGAUUUUGUAGAAGUGAUGGAGGCAGCUCCAUCUAAUGGUUGUCUCUAUUCGACAAAGUUUGGAGUAGAUCUGUCUCACUCUUUCUCUCUCUCUCCUCUCUCUUUCUCACUCUCUCUCCGCAGAUGAAAACCUGACUGGGUGGGGGUCGGGGACAGGGUUGAGUCUGGUGUUGGGGGUGGGGUUGGAUUGCUGGAGAGAGUGAUCUUUUUUUCCAGCGGGGUGAAAGGCGGACGGUCAUGUGUGCAGAGCUCAUGACAAAAGGCCCUUUUAUGUGCAGCGUAUGCAGAUAGAGGAGGCUCCUUUGUGCACAGAUGGAGAUCCCAUGCCUGGGUCUGCCUGCGGCAGAGAGGGAAGGGAGGGCGGAGAGGAGAGAAGAGUGGUGGUGAAGGGAAGAGAGGGGAGGGAGGGGUGUCUCUGGCACUGAGUGCCAUCACUAUGUCUGGUGGGGGAUGGGGCACGGAAAAGAAGGACCGAGCGGUCCCGGUCCUGCCAGGUUCAUACACAGCGAGGAGGGGCCACGAGCCUCGCUAAGAGGAUACAGAGACUUGUAACUCAAUAGUGGAAUCGAAGAGAGUCCAUCAAGUGAGUAGCAAGUGGCCCAGGGUCAAGUAUUACACACAAAUAAUCUUUGAUUUUUGCUUCUUUUUGCUGGCUAUGGAAAACACGGCUUGUCACAUAUAGUGCCAGAGAGCUAAUACAAGUACAGUACAGCAUGCAAAACUUAUCUGAUACCAACUACGGAUUACAGGCUUAGAAAAGCUUAACCUAGUUUUUUUCAAUGCCAACUAUCACAUGUGCCUAACAGGUGAAAUGUUCAAACAUAACUACAGUUGCAAUUUUGACCCUAUAACGAGGGGUCAAUCAUUCACGUGAACCAUCAAGCCCCAAAUGAAACUGACUGACAAGUUCAAGUUCUAGUUCAUUCUCAAAUAAAUGCCUCUUCAUCUGUCUCAGUCUCUAUUAUCUCAGUGUUGCUGCUUUGAACCCGUCCUGACUGUUAUCUAUCAGUGUCUGGAUAAGAGCAUUAAAUGUGUAUCCUGGUGGCAGCUCUCCCCUGGGAGUCGAGGUGACUCCUACUGACAUCUAGUCUGCUGAGAAGACAUCAUAUCCUUUAAGUAACCUCCUUCCCUUGACCAGCACAUCACAACACUCAAGUCAGACAGCUUCCUAUCCUCCUGGAGGCCCACGGCUCUUUUCUCCAGUGGACAGAUAGACACCACACAAUGACAGACCCUUUAAACUCUUCACAUUGGGCUGAAGCUGCUGAUGGACGUGCUGAGAGCUGCUACUGUUUGAAUAUAAAACAAGAGCGAGAUAGAAAUGCACAAUUUCCUAAAGAAAGAUUUUUGUCAAGGGAUUUGUUAACUAACAUGCUUGAUAACUAAUGAGUUAAUGUUAGCUACCUAUUGGGUUCAUUAUCUCAUGAUAGUAUGCAUGUUAAGUUUCCCAAACACUGAAAUUCUUGCUGAGUAAAAACGAGUAUAAGAUACAAGCGAGUAUUGUUCUGUAUUUCAUAUUUAAAGCAAUUUUUACAUUUUAUUCCUAAACAGCGCUGUAUAAAUAAACCUUAAUUUCUUACUAAAAUAGUUUUGUAAAUGGGGUCCAAAUUAGAGCCAAACAGACCCAGUAGAACGAGGUAUGCUUUCAGGUAGGCCUUCCUUGUGAUUUACAUGUCAUUCUGAGUCAAAGUUCUCUUACUUCCCAUGUCUGGUUUCAAAAUACUAACACGGCAACAGGCAAAAUGCUGUUCACUGAACCAAUGGGUGGCAUCACAGUCCAUUUUUGUAUACAGUCUAUGCUUCUCCCCAGGAAAGACUUUGCCAACCUGCCAUACUGAAAUCAGUGGACCAGGGAAAAAAUCUGGAGUGAAAAGAAGCUGAAUUAAUAUGAUUAAUGGGGAAACAAAGCAAACAAGACUUUGCUGAUGCUGUUGUGCUGAUCAUUGUGCCAUUAAAUUACAAACUGUACCCUUUUUACUGGUAAUGAUUGAUAAAAACUGGAUGUGCAGUGUACUGGUUUAUAAGAGGAGCAUGCCAGAAAAAGUGUGAGAACCACUGGCUCAGGCUAAUUAAAGUGAUCAGGUGUUUUUGUCUGAGUUCUGUCUUAACUUUGGCCUAACUGCCCAGCCUGUCUGCCUGCACUCUGGCUGCCAGGAGGCCAGGAAUGAAAGCCUGGCACUUACCCCCCUCUCCUCUAUCUGAUCCCCUGUUGCUACCCUAGAUGCCAACAAAGGUAUUUCUGCCCCUAAUCAACAUGGAGUGGUAGAGAGAUAUGAACGAAUGCCUGUUUUUUUCUUUUUUACACAAAAGCAGAAAGGAUUUAGGUAAACAAUAGGAAACAUUUUCUCAAGAUAAAACUGCAUUCCCAAGAGCUACUACAAUACAUUACGUUGGUUUAUCAAGCUUUCUUCUCUAUUCAAAGUUAAAUUCACAAGUUGACUUUAUGUCAGUUAUGUUUUUAAAAUAUGAGGAAAGUCAUCCCUUUAUUUCUGUCCUGUCUCCAACAAUUUUAUACUAUAGCACAUUUAUGGUACAUCGUGGGAAAAAAAGAUAAUUUGGGAUAUGUUAACAUCAUCAUGUGAAAGCAUUGUGCCUUGUGUUAACAUACCAAGUUGCUAACUUAUACCGUACCUUACUCUGUUUUGAUGUAAUGUCAAAUGUGUAUAGUUGUAACAGCCACAACGGUUCCUCUGCAUCAUAUUCUGGCCAGUUUAUCUCUGACACCCACAAGAAAGGCAUAACUAUCUGUUUGAAAGGGAAAUGGGCAGCAGCAGAUAAAGGGUAUACAAGCAUGAUAGAUUAAACAAACUGUGUGUUAUUAUAAGCUGAAAUAUGAAAUGUAAGAGUUUCAUAAACAGGAAAAUAUAAUGUGUGCCCUCUUAGUGUAUUUACUGCCAUCAGCACAUGAUCUGCUGGAUCCAUCGGAUCUGAUUUUUUUUUUUUUACAGAAAGGCAGAUUAAAAUGACUAAUUUACUACACUUCAGUGAAACAAGAGGCAGGAAAUCUGGGAAAAUAAUCAGAAAUCCCGACUAUGAAACAAAGACGAGGCUGAUGAAGAUGAUGGUGACGAGAAAAGCUGUAGCGUGUUCAACAUGUGGCUGUCUCAGCUGACCUGUUAAAUCUUACAGACAAUACAAAUAACGAUUAUUUUCUUGCACUCGAAAGGAUUGAAGGAUUUUCAAGUGAGCUUACUCUCACAAUAGUGGGGCGUCCGGGGCAGGAGGGAUACGCAGCCUGGACCCCGAACAGCACAAUGUGCAAAAGCAAAAUGGGGAGCAUGAAAUGAUGGCUCAGAAACCUCCAGACCGCUUAGCUUUGAGUGCUUCGUCAUAACAAAGCUGACCACCACUGCUCACCAGGAUUGAGACAACACAUUCAGCAGUGACAGCCAGUGCUAUUGUGUAGGCCUGUGUUAAAAUGAAAUUUAAAAAAAAAUCAAUCAUGAAAAAACGGAACACAACUAUGAGCGAAGGCACAACCUUACAGUAGGAUUACAGGGCCUCUGUUUUAUUUUUGAACGCCACCAGAGUGGGUCAGUUAGAAUAAAUUCCUGAUCAACAUCCUACAGUGCCUGUAAAGUCUCUCAGCACAUCCACAGUCUGAAGCAAGUUUUAGCUCCCCUCCCUAAAAGCUCACUGUCUUCUGACUAGCAAGCUUACGCCAGUCUUUGCUUAUUGAGACUGUCUCAUCUUCGUGUCAUGUGGAAGCUUCAAAAGCAAAAUAGAAAACACUGUUUCUCUUUCUUGGUUGCAAAUUGCAAUCUCUCAAAUCCAUCUUUGCCUGUUCAGAUCUGAUCUGGAAUACAACCAGCAUGAAUACCAACAGCAAGAAAGAUUACAACGGAUCUCUUUUUAAAAAAGAAUAUGCAUUUUACUCUUUUCCUGGAAAGUGAGUAAAUAUACAUGGAGUCCCCACUUGUUCACAGAACUUACAGCACAUAAAACACAUAAUUGUACUAGAGUCAGCCCUGUUUUUUUGAACUGUCUUCCAGUCACUACAGAAGCAAUGAAAAAAAGAAGCAAAUACAAUCUCUCUCCUUUUAUGAUCAAACAAUUUUUGUAAUUUCAAAACUUACUAAAGAAAAAAGGGAAAAAAAGAUCGACAUUACUGCUUCUCUUUAACUGCAAAUUUUAAUGUACCUGAGCUAUCAGCAAUCUAAUUAAAAUUUAAUUAAAACUAAUAAUUGAAUGCCUGAUUAAUGACAAGCAAUUCACCUCUAAUAUUUAUACUACAUGAGUUUAUUUUAUCUACCUAACUACAUGCUCAUAGUACAUAUGUUUGAGGUAAAUAGGUAAAAAAAGUACAUGAAAAUCCAACAUUUUAAUAUCACA